AUGUUCCCCGGAGGCCCAGCUGAGACCCGGACCUGCCCCCCCGUCCUCCUCACUCUUCACGCAGCCGGGGGUCCAAAGGCUGCAGGACCCAAGCUCUGGAACCUUCCCACGAGCCUGCUGAGCGGGGCCCUUUGCCCCGGGGGCCCUGGCUCUGAGUUCGGGCUCCACCUCCCAGCCCCCUUCCACCACCCACGUGGCUGGCUGAGCGCCCAUCCACCUGCCCUGUGCCGCGGGCGGGGGGCUUUCAGGAGGCCCGGCUGUGCCCCAACAAUGCUGCUUUGUGCCAAGAGGGACCCAGAGCCUUGUAAAGGAGGAGCCCCUGCCACCAUCUCCCCAGUUUUGGAGGCACUUCGGGGGAGCAGGAGAUCCCAAGACGAGAUCGUGCCCCUCACCUGGUGCCCCUAAAUCCAAGGACAGAUGUCCCAUCGGAGACACACGGCGGGAAGGUGGAGGAGGCCACGUGAUGGCGGAGCAGAGGCUGGGGCCACGGGGCCACACGCCCCAGAAACCUGGACACCCCGGAGCCGGAGGGUCCGCCCCUAGAGCUUCUAGAAGGGGCGUGACGCCUGGAUUUGGGGCUUUCGUUCCCAGAAAUGUGAGAAAAUAAUUUGUCGUUAUAAGCCAACACCUUGUCGUAUGUGACGGCAGCUGGGGACCCUCGUACACCCUGUACGGGGCUCUGUGGUGCCCCCCCCCCCUUGCAGAGCGGAGAGGUGACGUUACUUUGGUGGAGACAUUUUUGUGAGUGGCCCCCAGCUGCUCCCAGGGGAAAGGCUGCCGCGGAGAAGCCUGCGUGGGUCAGAGAGGGUGACCCCUGUUCCCGGCCACACCCACCCACCGUCCCAGCCGCUGGGGCUGUGCACGGCCUUAGCUCAGAAACGGAGCAUGUCUUGCAGGCGCCAAGGCUGGUGCCCUGUGCAGGUGGUCCCCUGAGGGAGAGCUGAGUGUCCCCUCCAUCACUGCCUGUGAGCAUGGACCCGCUGUGUGCCCAGCUUGAGAGGCACCCAGGGGCUUCGGGCCCACGCCCAGUCCAGAGCGGGUGCCCAGGGGACAGAGCCCACUCAGGGACCAGCCCCAUAACACCAGGAAGCACAGGCCGAGGAGGCCUCCCACCCAGAUUCUGGGACCUUCUGGCUCCCAGGGGGCCUGUGGGAAUCCUGUCCCUCCUCUGAGGAGCCCAGCUGCCCCCGAUGCCCGGUGGGGCCCCUUCCCCCGCCUCAGGGCCUGCGUGGUCCUUGGGGAGCUCGCAGAGGCUGGGGUUUCCAUGGCCACCAGCCUCUCCUCUGCCCAGGAUCUGCUUAUUCCUUAUUCAGCACCCAGUGGCCCCCACUGGGGGAGGCUCCGUUUCCUGCCACACUGAGGUGGUGGGGGAGGUCACGGGGCACCGGGUCCCCUUCCAACUGAGCUCCCACUGGCAAAAUGCGAGCAGGAGGCACGGGGAAGGCUCCGGUCCUCCCCACUGGUGGGACUUGAGGCUGGAGUUGGCAGCUGGGAUAUUGGGGUGAAUGAGGACCACGACGGCAGCCCCACGCCCAGGUGGACACUGGGGGACCUGAGGCUUGCAGAGGGCUGUGUCUGGGGUCGCACGUGGGGUCUGGCCGGCCCGCCCAGCGUCUGCUCGGCAUCUGUGGCUGGGUGCCCCAGUGCAGGGGGCGCUGGGGCGAAGCUUCCCGACCUUCCCAGCGCUGCGCGGCAUUGCUCUGCAUCUGGGGCUCCCGUCGGGGUCUGGCCUCAGCUGUGGCCCCUUCUCCAGCCCCCCUGCUGCCCCAACAGUCCCGUCAUGUGUUGGAGCCUGCUUCAGGGCGAGCUGACACUUUGC
rnacentral:lncRNA from 1 species